AACGCACAUUGCGCCCAUUAGUAUUCUAGUGGGCAUGCCUAUUCGAGCGUCAUUUCAACCCCUUAAGCCCCUGUUGCUUAGCGUUGGGAGUCUACGGCUUCGGCGUAGUUCCUGAAAGUUAGUGGCGGAGUUAGGGCAUACUCUUAGCGUAGUAAUCACUAUCCGUUACUGAGUAUCCUUAGCCUUUAGCCGUAAAACCCCCCUAUUCUUCUAGUGGUUGACCUCGAAUUAGGUAGGAAUACCCGCUGAACUUAA
rnacentral:misc_RNA from 1 species